UACAGAGGGGGGCAAGCGUUUGUUCGGAAUUACUGGGCGUAAAGGGCGCGUAGCGGCCGCCUAAGUCAGACGUGAAAUCCCUCGGCUCAACCGGGGGAACUGCGUCUGAUACUGGGUGGCUUGAAUUCGGGAGAGGGAUGCGGAAUUCCAGGUGUAGCGGUGAAAAUGCGUAGAUAUCUGGAGGAACACCGGUGGCGAAGGCGGCAUCCUGGAC
rnacentral:rRNA from 1 species